ACUACUGAUGAUAUGUUAACUUUUCCAACUUUCUCGAAAAUUCUAAAUCUCAAAAAUAGACAACCCUCGUCUCUUUUUUUUGGGGCUCUCCUCCAUUGAAGCUCGCAUCUUUCCUCAUUGAAGCCCGCAACUCUCUCUCGGUCUCUCCUCUAGUGAAAAUCUCACACUCUCUAUUCUUCUAUGAACCUUUCACUCGUUGCAUUCUCUCUCCUCCAUUGAAGUGUGAAUUCUCCAUGGUACCGUUCGUAGUCUAAAUCCUCCAUUGAAGUGACUUCUGGGCUUUUUCGUUCAUUAAAGCAGCUUUACGAGCUUUUUUUUUCAUUUGAAGCAACAUUUGAGGCACUGAUUUUUUUGAAAUAAAGUACUCAUUUCAUAAAGUACAGUAGGAAGGGGAAGCCUAAGUUUUGCCCAUUAAGACUUUCCACGAUCUUAACUUAAAGAAAACACCUCAAUUGGUUGAGCCAAUGAACAUCAGUGAGGUACACUCCCAUAUUCGUUCUUGAUUCCAAAGGAUACUUUGAUUUACUGAUCAAGGCCCGUCAACUUUUAUUGUAGACUUAUUUCCACAUUUUAUACUUUAGUUGUUAGCUAGCCACUAUGUUUGGUUAAAAACAGAUAUAUCCAGAAAGUAGGAUGAGCUAGCAUUUUGCAAAAAUCAAACCUGGUGAUGUUGUAGAAGUGAAAGGACCCAUUGAGAAGCUUAGUUUACUCCCAUUAUGAAGAAACACAUCGGCAUGGUACACGAUGAACCACAAUGAGUAGAACAGGAAAAUUGACAUGAUUGUUGUGACACUCUUGAUCGAGGAUUGUCAGACUCGUACUUCUUAGUUUUGAGUUACUUUUGUUUACGGUAGUUUUAAAUUACUUAAUGACCUUGUUUAGGUAGAUAUAUUAGGAGAAUAUAUGAUGCAUUGUAAAGAAAUGUAUUUUGGCUUAGGAGUUAUUUCAAUGUAGCAUUAAUUGCAUAAUUAUACAAUAUAAUUAAAUUAAAUACUAUACUUUUUUAAUCAAAAUUAAAU